rnacentral:rRNA from 1 species
AAUAGAUACCCCUGGUAGUCCACGCCGUAAACGAUGAGUGCUAAGUGUUAGGGGGUUUCCGCCCCUUAGUGCUGCAGCUAACGCAUUAAGCACUCCGCCUGGGGAGUACGGUCGCAAGACUGAAACUCAAAGGAAUUGACGGGGGCCCGCACAAGCGGUGGAGCAUGUGGUUUAAUUCGAAGCAACGCGAAGAACCUUACCAGGUCUUGACAUCCCACUGACCGGUAUAGAGAUAUACCUUUCCCUUCGGGGACAGUGGUGACAGGUGGUGCAUGGUUGUCGUCAGCUCGUGUCGUGAGAUGUUGGGUUAAGUCCCGCAACGAGCGCAACCCUUGAUCUUAGUUGCCAGCAUUUAGUUGGGCACUCUAAGGUGACUGCCGGUGACAAACCGGAGGAAGGUGGGGAUGGACGUCAAAUCAUCAUGCCCCUUAUGACCUGGGCUACACACGUGCUACAAUGGAUGGUACAAAGGGCUGCAAGACUGCGAAGUCAAGCCAAUCCCAUAAAACCAUUCUCAGUUCGGAUUGCAGG